UACGAAGGGUGCAAGCGUUACUCGGAAUUACUGGGCGUAAAGCGUGCGUAGGUGGUUUUUUAAGUCCGUUGUGAAAGCCCCGGGCUCAACCUGGGAAUUGCAUUUGAGACUGCGUAGCUAGGGUGCGGAAGAGGGAAGCGGAAUUUCCGGUGUAGCGGUGAAAUGCGUAGAUAUCGGAAGGAACACCAGUGGCGAAAGCGGCUUCCUGGUCCAGCACCGACGUUCAGGCACGAAAGCGUGGGGAGCAAACAGG
rnacentral:rRNA from 1 species